rnacentral:rRNA from 1 species
AGUGAACGCUGGCGGCAGGCCUAAUACAUGCAAGUCGAACGGCAGCACAGUGGAGCUUGCUCCAUGGGUGGCGAGUGGCGGACGGGUGAGGAAUACAUGGGAAUCUGCCCAGUCGUGGGGAUAACGUAUGGAAACGUACGCUAAUACCGCAUGCGCCCUUCGGGGGAAAGUCGGGGACCGCAAGGCCUGACGCGAUUGGAUGAGCCCAUGUUCGAUAGCUAGUUGGCGGGUAACGGCCCACCAAGGCGACGAGUCGAUAGCUGGUCUGAGAGGAUGAUCAGCCACAACUGGAACUGAGACACGGUCCAGACUCCUACGGGAGGCAGCAGUAGGGAAUA